UCCUCUUGAUCCAAUGGCUAGCACACCCCUGCCCCCCUCCCUCGUCUUCUUCCACCUACCGUCGACUUCUCUCCAGAUCUUUCCCCAACAGCUGCCACAUCUCCAGAUCCUUCCCCAACCACCCUCCGAGCCGCUCACCCCUAGCUGCUACUUUCUUUCCCCAAUUACUCCACCACGUCGUCUGAAGAUGGAGGAAGCACAGACCGAGGCAGCAACAGCUCAGCGACGAUCCAGACCUCCCCCUAUCCAUCCGGUGGUGCCGCGUUGAGCCACCGAGCGGGCCACAUCAAGGCGUCUAGUGGAGUCGCGCCGCAGUGGCUGAGGGGCUGCGCCCAGUCGCCGUCGGGCCCAAGCCGCAAGGGGAUGCGCCGUGCCCCUUCUUCGCCGAGGGGCCCGUGUCCGUCGCAUACGCCGUCCUCGCCAUUGUCUUCUCAAUCGACCUCGACAGGCUGUGAGCCGCAUGCCCCACCAGACAAUGUCGAGCAUGUGUUGAGGCGAGAUGCUGGUUCUCCCUCCGAUGAGCAUGGAUCUGGGCGAUAUGGUGGAGGAUAUGGCAUCUCCCUUCGACGCCGUCGGAGAAGAUGGCUAGAUCUACGUCCAGAAGGGUAUGUGAAUGUGCAGCAUAAAGUCUUGUUGUCCAAAAAUUGUUAGUAGCACAAAUUUGUUGUCCGGAAUGGUGUUGGAGCGUUCUCGUCGGUCAAGAUCGGCUACAAAAAAAUAUUAUUUGUUGUCCGUCGAGUGCCGAGCAGGGUGGUGGCUACAAAGUAGGAUAGUGUGUUCUAAGCUCGGAGAAUCUCCGGGACUUUGUUUGUAGAUUGGAUUUCUAGCGUUUUGCUCCUCGUGUAUUGGCUGAAAAUAUAUGUAAUUUUAAGUUUUUUGUGAUGUUUUUUUCUUUUAUGUAAAAUGUUAUUUUCUAGUGUGUUUGUGUAAAAUUUAUAUGGGCUAUAAAUUUUGAUAUACCAAUUGAAACAUGAGUUGGGUUAA